GGCUUAGAGUUUGAUCAUGGCUCAGGAUGAACGCUAGCUACAGGCUUAACACAUGCAAGUCGAGGGGCAUCAGGAAGAAAGCUUGCUUUCUUUGCUGGCGACCGGCGCACGGGUGAGUAACACGUAUCCAACCUGCCCUUUACUCGGGGAUAGCCUUUCGAAAGAAAGAUUAAUACCCGAUAGCAUAAUGAUUCCGCAUGGUUUCAUUAUUAAAGGAUUCCGGUAAAGGAUGGGGAUGCGUUCCAUUAGGUUGUUGGUGAGGUAACGGCUCACCAAGCCUUCGAUGGAUAGGGGUUCUGAGAGGAAGGUCCCCCACAUUGGAACUGAGACACGGUCCAAACUCCUACGGGAGGCAGCAGUGAGGAAUAUUGGUCAAUGGGCGUUAGCCUGAACCAGCCAAGUAGCGUGAAGGAUGAAGGCUCUAUGGGUCGUAAACUUCUUUUAUAUAAGAAUAAAGUGCAGUAUGUAUACUGUUUUGUAUGUAUUAUAUGAAUAAGGAUCGGCUAACUCCGUGCCAGCAGCCGCGGUAAUACGGAGGAUCCGAGCGUUAUCCGGAUUUAUUGGGUUUAAAGGGAGCGUAGGUGGACUGGUAAGUCAGUUGUGAAAGUUUGCGGCUCAACCGUAAAAUUGCAGUUGAUACUGUCAGUCUUGAGUACAGUAGAGGUGGGCGGAAUUCGUGGUGUAGCGGUGAAAUGCUUAGAUAUAACGAAGAACUCCGAUUGCGAAGGCGGCUCACUGGACUGCAACUGACACUGAUGCUCGAAAGUGUGGGUAUCAAACAGGAUUAGAUACCCUGGUAGUCCACACAGUAAACGAUGAAUACUCGCUGUUUGCGAUAUACAGUAAGCGGCCAAGCGAAAGCAUUAAGUAUUCCACCUG
rnacentral:rRNA from 1 species